rnacentral:rRNA from 1 species
AUUGAACGCUGGCGGUAGGCCUAACACAUGCAAGUCGAACGCGAAAGUCCUUCGGGAUGAGUAGAGUGGCGGACGGGUGAGUAACGCGUAGGAAUCUAUCCUGUAGUGGGGGAGUAACGUUUCGAAAGGAACGCUAAUACCGCAUACGCCCCAAGGGGGAAAGCGGGGGAGUCUUCGGACCUCGUGCUAUAGGAGGAGCCUGCGUCGGAUUAGCUAGUUGGUGAGGUAAAGGCUCACCAAGGCGACGAUCCGUAGCUGGUCUGAGAGGAUGAUCAGCCACACCGGAACUGAGACACGGUCCGGACUCCUACGGGAGGCAGCAGUGGGGAAUAUUGCGCAAUGGGCGAAAGCCUGACGCAGCCAUACCGCGUGUGUGAAGAAGGCC